GACGAACGCUGGCGGCGUGCCUAACACAUGCAAGUCGAACGAGGUCCAUGCAGUGGCAACACUGCGGAAGACCUAGUGGCGAACGGGUGAGUAACACGUGAGGAACCUGCCCCGAAGACCGGGAUAACCCUCCGAAAGGAGAGCUAAUACCGGAUACCCCCACCUGGUCGCAUGGCCGGGUGAGGAAAUGGAUUCCGCUUCGGGAGGGCCUCGCGGCCUAUCAGCUAGUUGGUGAGGUAACGGCUCACCAAGGCAUCGACGGGUAGCUGGUCUGAGAGGACGAUCAGCCACACUGGGACUGAGACACGGCCCAGACUCCUACGGGAGGCAGCAGUGGGGAAUCUUGCGCAAUGGGCGAAAGCCUGACGCAGCAACGCCGCGUGGGGGAUGAAGGCUCUCGGGUUGUAAACCCCUUUCAGCAGGGACGAAAUUGACGGUACCUGCAGAAGAAGCCCCGGCUAACUACGUG
rnacentral:rRNA from 2 species